CUUUCAAAGCCCUCUGUAUCUUCACUACACAAUGCACCAAAGGGUUUCAUAAUCCAAACAACACAUCAUUUCGUGCCCAGCAAAAAAAAAUUACAUGAUUAGGGUUUUUCGAUUUGACAAAUUAACGUAUUUACAAAUUAACAAACAUUACUUACCAAUUGAAGAACUUCACAACAACGAACACUAACAGAUCGCCAAAACAACCACGAUGCGAUUGUGAGGGUUCCCCUACCACACAAUGACAGUUCCAGUACGACCACAACUACGGUUCGAUUGAGGGAAAACAACACUAGGGUUCCAAUGACGCAGAGUUCUCCUUCGACUGAACACAAUUAGAGUUCCACUAACACAGAAUGGCUAGAAGAUGAAGAACAAAGUUCGCCGAGGGAGAAGAAGGUUCGCCGAGGGAGAAGAAGGUUCGCCGAGGGAGAAUGACGGGUUGACGACAACGAGUGUGAAUCAGAGAGGGAGAAUCAUGGUUGUAGUCACCGACAAUGACAGUGACAGAUGGUUGCAAUGAGAAAAUAGGGCUUGAGAGAGGGGGAAAAAGGGCUCGAGAAGGG
rnacentral:lncRNA from 1 species